AAAAAAACUCACAUUUCCACCGCACCGAGCACGUUGUUCAGACUUGUCUCUCACAACAGAGUUGAGAGUGAACACUGAACAGUGCAGUGUUGAGUGUUGAGUGUUGAGUGUUGAGUGUUGAGUUUCUCUCUCACUCUCAGCUUCUAAGGUUCCAUCGCUAUUCUGAACAAUCGAACAUUGUGGAUUCAAUCAGCUACUUGCAGCAGGUUAGGGUUUCGAAUCUGUUUCUCUCGUAGCAUGAAGAACCAUACUCAGACUCUCCCUCUCGAUUUGAUAGAGCUAAUUCUCCUGAAAUUGCCGGUGAAAUCUGUUACGCGUUUCAAGUGUGUCUGUAAAUCAUGGCUCUCUCUGAUUUCCGACCCCCAAUUUGGCUUUUCCCAUUUUGACCUAGCUCUCGCUGUACCCUCUCAUCGACUCCUUCUCAGAUCAAAUGAAUUCUCCGUUCAUUCCAUUGAUAUGGAUUUCGGUGCAGUACAUUUCACUCUCCCUCCUCCAUCUCCCCCACUUGCCGAUUAUGCAUCUUUGUUUACUCCUGCUUUUCAUCAACAUUGGAUUGAUUUUCAUAGAAAACAUUGGAUGUUGGGCUCAUGCAGAGGCCUCGUACUUUUAAACUACCGGAAUAGCAGUGAACUCGUUCUAUGGAAUCCAUCAAUUGGUGUAUACAAACGGUUACCUUUCUCUGACGAAUAUGACUUAAUCAAUGGAUACCUAUAUGGUUUUGGCUAUGACAUAUCAACAGAUGACUACUUGCUUAUUCUGAUUUGUUUAGGUGCAUAUGCUCUAUUUUUCUCCUUCAAAACCAAUUCCUGGAGCAGAGUCGAUCUUCAUGCUCGAUAUGUGGAUCCUGACAGUGAAUUCCAAGCUGGGACUCUCUUCAGUGGGGCUUUUCAUUGGUUGGUUUUCUCUAACUGUAUUGUUGAACAUGAUGAUCUUCCUUUCUCUUUUGAAGAAUAUGUACCUUUCAUCAUUGCCUUUGAUCUCACACAAAGGAGUUUUACGGAGAUUCCUCUCUUUGAUCAUUUUACUGAGGAAAAACUUGAAAUUUAUAGUCUGAGGGUAAUGGGAGGAUGUCUCUGUGUGUGUUGCUCCGUCCAAGGAAGUGAAAUGACCGAGAUAUGGGUGAUGAAUGAAUAUAAAGUGCAUUCAUCUUGGACUAAGACCAUUGUUAUCCCUAUUUCUAAUCGCUUUUCCCCAAUAUUCAUCACUAAAGAAGGUGGAAUUUUCGGAUCAAAUAGCACUGGAAUGUUAGAGAAGCGUAAUGGCAAAGGGGAGCUGCUUGAGCAUUUCAUUGAUAAUGAAUGUCAAGGUUUCAACUGUGCCAAUCUACAGUCUGCUUUGUAUACAGAGAGUCUACUGCCACUCCCAGUGUCAUUGGUGGGACCAAGUGCAGAUGACCAACAGUAAUAGGCAACAAAAAUUGGGUGCAUGGAAUUUUGGAAAGAUGAGGUUUGGUGGUGCUUGCUGGAUUCAAUUUACCUAGCUAAUAGUACUUAUUUCUAGUUUUUAAAUUAAAUGGUUCGUGAGAUUGGAUGCAGAGAUGGGGUAUGGUCAUGGUGGAUUCAGUUUACUUAGUAAAAUAAUUCAUGUCUUCCUUACUCAGAAGCCACAGUCAUCAAAGACCAAGAAAUAUGCAAGAAUAUUGAAGCUGCUAGUAGAAAGCAUAGGCACUUGGAAAAGAAUGGCAUACAUAUGCUAUUAAAUUAUCUAUUGUUAGUGUGGAACAAGUGUCAGUUUUAAUGGUUAUUUCAGUAAAGUUGGAUUCAAAGUAAGACUUGGCAAAUCCUAAUUGGUGUAAUACAUACUAUUUAAUGCCUUAACCUUUUUCCCUCUUAAUCUCAUUAUAUUUUGCAGC